AGCGAACGCUGGCGGCAGGCUUAACACAUGCAAGUCGAGCGGGCCCUUCGGGGUCAGCGGCGGACGGGUGAGUAACGCGUGGGAACGUGCCUUCUGGUCUGGAAUAACCCUGGGAAACUAGGGCUAAUACCGGAUACGCCCUUUUGGGGAAAGGUUUACUGCCGGAAGAUCGGCCCGCGUCUGAUUAGCUAGUUGGUGGGGUAACGGCCUACCAAGGGGACGAUCAGUAGCUGGUCUGAGAGGAUGAUCAGCCACACUGGGACUGAGACACGGCCGGGACUCGGGCGGGAGGGGGGAGGGGGGGAGGGGGGAGGGGGGGGGGAGGGGUGAGGGGGCGAGGAGGGGGGAGUGGUGAGGGGGGGGGGGUGGUAAAGCGGGUGUAGCCGGGACGAUAAUGACGGUACCGGAGGAAUAAGCCCCGGCUAACUUCGUG
rnacentral:rRNA from 1 species